rnacentral:lncRNA from 1 species
UAACAUCCAAAAUUGGGGGAAUGACACCAGCACCAAUCCCUUGGAUUAGGUGCUUGCCUUUGACAUUGAAAAAGGAAAAACAAAUCAGUAAAUAGCCUCAAAGUAGUUGUCUAGUGAGUUGCUCAAAAUAAAGCAUGAUAAUAUCACACCUGGCUUUCCUCCAUUCAAAACUGCACUUUCAGCAGGUUCUACACCAUAUACCUAGGGGGAAAAGCAUCGUAUACCAUCAGUUCAUAUCAAGAAAAACUGUUCACACAAUCAUUCCCAUCCCAGACAGUAUGCAUAUUGGUAAUAAAACAACCUUGAUCUCUGGGUUUCUCUCCUUGAGGAAAGUCCCAGCACCUGUUAUUGUUCCUCCAGUUCCUAUCCCUGCCACGAAAACAUCGAUUUUCCCUCCAGAAUCUCUCCAUAUCUCAGGGCCAGUGGUCUCAUAAUGAAUCUACAAGGGUGUGAAAUUAAUUAAUCUGAUGCAAUCUUUCUCAACCCAUUAACCAAAUUAAGAAAUAUCUAUGAAUAAUAAGAAUACCUUGGGGUUCGCAGGAUUUUCAAAAUGCUGGAGCAUAUAACUACCGAGCGUCUCAGCUACUAUCUCUUCUGCCUUCUGAAAAACGCCGUCAACUCCUUUGGCAGGGUCUGUGAGAUAUACCUCAGCUCCAAAGGCUCUCAGUAUAAUUUUUCUCUCAAGACUCACAUAAGAUGGCAUAACCACAAUAACUUUAUAGCCCCUCAAUGCUGCUAUGAAUGCCAACCCUAUGCCGGUGUUACCACUUGUAGGCUCAACAAGAAUAGUCUUUUCAACAAUUGCCCAAAAAGAUUAAACUUAGAUCGUCACCAUAUCAACAAUACAAUAAGUGGCUGAAGAGGCCCUCACUUCAAUAUCAUAAGUAGUAAUAUUGUAAAAUCUCCAUAAAACAUGGCCAUUAUAGAAUAUGAUGGAGGAUUUAUAGUAAGGAUUGAUAAAGCUGUAAGGCAUUAUUGUUUUUUCAGCAAAAAGAAGAUUACAUAAUCAUUUAUAGUUCAUAAGGGCAAUCAAACCUAUAUACAUGCAAAAAUCUUAAAAUGCAUUAAACUUUGUCAGGAUUGUUUUAAACACUGUCAAGGACACCUACAGCAAUCUAAAAAUAUUCCAAACCCCAUCUGUUCUAGCUGAAAACCACAUCCAAGAUACAAUUUUAAUCAGGUCUUAAAUAAGAUCAAAACUCUACAGCUUAAACAUGAUCUCAUUCUGGUAAAUCCAAAUAGACCACACAGCUAAGAACCUUACAAGCACCCAUGCCUGAUUUUCCCCUUCUAAUCACAGUUGAAAGAAAUUUAGUGAUAGAAUUUGAAUAACAUAGUUGUCCAUUUAAAAUCAUGUGAGUAGAAGUGUAUGGCUGUCCUAUUAUAGGCCUAACGCCACACAAAAAACUCUAGAUAUGUAUCUUUAACACGGCUAACCUUCCCACGCGUAAUGAGGCCUUUAUUCUCAGCAUCUUCAAUCAUGCUCAAUGCUAUCCUGAGUGAGAAAAAAGAAGAUUAUCAUUACAAAUUCUUAAUUGCAAAAUGAGAUUAUUAAAACCUAAACUUCCAGACAGCUAUCUAGUUUGGGAAAGAAAGGAAUUCCAUACCUAUCUUUGACACUACCACAGGCUUGCAUGUAUUCGAGCUUAACAGCGAUACGGGCCACGCACCCUUCAACUAUGUUGUUCAGAUAUACCAUUGGGGUAUUCCCAAUUAACUGCACAAUGAAGGAAAGAAGCUAAUUAUUAACUUAGAAAGCUAAAGAUAAAUAUAAAAAUACAACAAGCUAAUUAUUAGUCAGAAUGACAAAGUAUUAAUUACUUCAGUGACAUCCUUCUUGAUUGCACAUUGUGACUCCAUGUUAGCUACAAUAUCUGCAAGCAGGACCAAGUAAAAGACUAAAAGGUGAGAAUUCAGUUGAAAAAGUGAAUAAAUUGCCAAUCAAAUAAUUGAUCACCAACAAUUACAGGGUUUGCCUAUUGGUUACCUAAAAUCUGCAGUAACCAAGAAGCACCAGCAAAGGAAAAUAUCAGCACAGUUCAACAAUCAAUGAGCAGAUAUGAGAUGAAACCAAAAUUGAAAACAUGGAGAUUAGAAAAGUAGAACUACCCAAAACUCAGCUUGAAAACUUGUCUUCAAUGUCAACAGGAAGCUGCCAAAGUGUAGAAGACGAGGAAGUUUAAGACACAAAAGAAGAAUGAAGUCAAUCAACUAGUUGUGGUUGGAAUUUUUCCUAACAUUACGGUUUUUAAACAUUCAAGGGUUAUAUCCAUGCACCAUUUUUUUUCUCAUCAUCUAACAUUAUCACAUUUAUCUUUUUUUAUUCUUUAUUUUAGUCAGCUUCUUCUUGCAAUGUCUACUCUUGAUUUUAGGUAUAAACUAUCCAAUAUUCGGUCACCAUUCCAAUGUUCGACUAUUCCAGAUUUAAAAUUUAGUUACAGUUGUUUGGAGAUUGAAAUCGAGAGCUCUUUUCAAACAUUCAGCCUCCAUUACUAACCGAGCUAACGCGAGUGUCUACUCUUGAUUGAGCUUACCCAACAUUUUUUUUUUAAUUUUAUUAUAAUAGCAUCUUCCGUUUGUGAUACCUUUUUGUCUCGACAAAAAAAAUGUCACCUAUUUGUGUUGAUGAAAAGCUGUCAUGUUUUCUUUUUUUUAGUUAAAAAAUACCACUUGUAGGAUGCCUUUUUAUUUUCAUUUUGAAAGAAAAAAUUAUUUAUAUUCAUCUUUUCAGCUGAAUGUUAUUUAUGAUUUUUUAUAAUGAUUUAUAUUACAUCAUCAUAUGGCUUUUUAGAGGAUAACACCAUAGAAGUCCCAAUCAUUGUGUGCUUCCUAGCAAUGAAUGAACUAGUCAUCCUUUCAUCACUACCAACAAGCAUUUUGGAUCAGUUUGUUUUUAACUUUUCUCCUAAAGCAUUUCUUCCGUUUGGAUGGGCUCAAAACAAUACUUGAAGUUGAAAUUCAUAUAUAAGCAGUUGCAAAUGAAAAAAUCAACUAAGUUAUAUUCAUGAUCUAUGAAUAUUCCAUUUCCGCACCAGCACUUUGUGAAGUCCCUAUACAAUGAAGUGUAAAUCUAAACAUUAUUCAACUUAUUGGAGACUGUGCUUAUGAUAGAAGAGCUUGCUUCACGAGUACUUGAUGAGUAGUUAUUGACUUAUUUCAGCUAUUCAUGUAUGCACCUUACUCAAAUGUCAUUUGUUCAGCUUCAUGCCUAAUGGACUCAAACAGUGGUGAAGAUAAGUAACGCUCUCCAAAACUGGGAAAAAUUGCCUGCACAGCAACAUGAUUCAGAAUUUAUAUUAACUAAUAAUAUUUUGUAAAUUCACAUCACAUGCAUUGGUAUCAGUAUUAUGGAUUAGAAACUUACAACAAUUAGCUUUCCUGCAUUUUCUGGUCUCUUCCCCAAUUUUAUUGCUGCUGCUGCUGCAGCUCCUGAUGAAAUUCCCAUCUGCACAAGGCGUUGCAUAUUUCCAAUUAUAAAUGCAGAAAGUUCAUAUUUAACCAAACUAAUUAAUCAAUGUAUUGAAUACUUGUAAAGUUAACAAGUUAUCCUUGCCAUACCAGUAAACCUUCUUUCAAGGCUAGCAUCUUAGCAGUUUCUAUAGCUUCUUCACUUGAAACCUGCAGCUCAUAAAACCUUGUUGGUCAAAACAUAAUCCCUUAUAUUAGUAUCUACAAGAGGAAACAUUUCAUAAAACAUUAAGUUACUUCAUGAAUCAAAAUUGAAAAUUGAUACCAAUGUACUAGCUCGGAGUUACCUGAAUAACUUCAUCUAGGAGAUUAAUAUUCAGAAUGGGGGGAAUGACACCAGUACCAAUCCCUUGGAUUAGGUGCUUGCCUUUGACAUUGAUAAAGGAGAAAAAAAAAUCAGUAACCAGCCUCCAAGUGGUUGUCUAAAGAGUUGCUCAAAAUUUUAUUAUGUAUAACGACAUCUGAAGGAAAAAUACAUUCUAACAGAUCAAAUCAAUAACAAAAUACUGACAGAAAAAAAAGAAGAAAGAACAGUUUGAUAUUAAGAAUUUAAGAAUACUUUUCCUGAUAGACAAUUCAAGAAACAGUCUACAAAAUAACAACCACACUUGAAACUUGCCAUUUUUCACUGUACAGCCUAAUCGUCACUUAUUCUCAUGGAAUCGAGAACCAUACUCCAGGUAAUGGUAUGGUUAUCUGUUGGGAAAUAAUCUGUUGGGGAAGAUGCUGCAACACUUGGAUUGAUGAAGAUGUUGACGACGGAAGCACUUGAAGAUUCAAAGCGAGCACUAACCUUUAGGUUCAAUUCGCCCCCACCAAUUACUGUGUAUUGGAUGCAAGUGAGAAAACCGGUGAAUUCCCUUC